GCCAACACUCUGAGAAGGAAAUUGAAGCUCAGAGAAGGUCCAGCAGCUGAACAGAGAACAUGAGUUUCCAGUUGACAAAGUCUGUGCUCAGCUCCUUCACUGAACAUUGCUCUGAGCCAACGCAUGUCAGCGAGAGGACGCGGUGACACCGGCCUGUGGUUGCACCCAGAAACAAACAAGUAGGGAGAGCAGCCCCAGUUCUCCAGAAUGACCUCUUUCCUCCGAAUCCCACUCCAGGAAGAGAGUCCAGCAGGGGCCCCUGAGCUUGGGGCUGGCCCUGUGCGCUGUCAGCAGAGACCCCUGUCCAUCAGCACUUUGCAUGGGUCUGUCCUGCUUCAGUGGGGAAUGUUCCUCAGCAAAAGAACUGAGUGCAAUGCAGGGAUGCCAUCGGAGUUGGCUGGGGACAGCCUGGCUUUGUCAUGUUAGGGGGCAUGGAGGGGCAUGCAGUGCUCAGGGUGGACACCACACACAAGGGUCACACUGAGCUCAGAGGAACAAAUCGCAGGGAGAGAAUGUGCCAAUGGUGCUUUCUCCAAGACACCUCUGACCUGGAACUGCAAACCACCGCUGAUUCCCCUGCCCAGCUCCUCUGUUAGAAUGACCCCGUGGGGCUGCAGAUGACUUAACAGCUAUAUUUAGCAAGUCAUGGGAGGGAUGGGCCAGUUCCAGCCAGCUAGCCUGCCUUCAGAGGCCCUAGAUUCCUUUGUCCUUCCCUUCUGCCUCCCCUCCUAGUUUUUCCCACUGGCUGGCUCUUAACCCCUUCAUGGCUUGAGGACUCCUCUCAAAUAUGGGCAAAGCAGAUAGAACGUAAGGGAGGCCACCCGAGUAUCCCAGCCCCCAAAUUUCUCACUCAGCUGCCUGGAACUCUGCUUUACGAACUCCCUUUCUUCAGUCCUGAACUUUUCUUUUUUUUCAUCAUUAAGUGUUUCCUAAUAAAAUUAUGCAAGUACCCUUGGG
rnacentral:lncRNA from 1 species